rnacentral:rRNA from 1 species
CUGGUUCUCCGCGAAAUCUAUUUAGGUAGAGCGUCAGACGAAUACCUUCGGGGGUAGAGCACUGAAUGGGCUAGGGGGCCUUACCGGCUUACCAAACCUAAUCAAACUCCGAAUACCGAAGAGUACUAUCUGGCAGACAGACUACGGGUGCUAAGGUCCGUGGUCGAGAGGGAAACAGCCCAGACCGCCAGUUAAGGUCCCAAAGUUGUGGCUAAGUGGGAAAGGAUGUAGGACGGCCAAGACAACCAGGACGUUGGCUUAGAAGCAGCCAUCGUUUAAAGAAAGCGUAACAGCUCACUGGUCUAAAUAAGCUGUCCCGCGCCGAAGAUGUACCGGGGCUCAAGCCACACACCGAAACUGCGGACUUGUUCUUUGAACAAGUGGUAGCGGAGCGUUCCGUAAGCCUGUGAAGGUGAACCGUAAGGUUUGCUGGAGGUAUCGGAAGCGAGAAUGCUGACAUGAGUAGCGAUAAAGGGAGUGAGAACCUCCCUCGCCGAAAGCCCAAGGGUUCCUGCGCAAGGCCAAUCCGCGCAGGGUGAGUCGGCCCCUAAGACGAGGCAGAAAUGCGUAGUCGAUGGGAAACAGGUUAAUAUUCCUGUACCCGUGAGAAGUGACGGCCUCUGGAAGUAGUUUUUCCUUAUUGGAUUGGAGAAGCUGCCAAGGAGGUCCAGGAAAUAACUCUCACAUAUGGACCGUACCCCAAACCGACACAGGUGGGCAGGUUGAAUAUACCAAGGCGCUUGAGAGAAUGGUGUUGAAGGAACUCGGCAAAUUGCCCCCGUAACUUCGGGAGAAGGGGGCCCUCCAUGAAGGCAACUUCAUGGGGGGGGCACAGACUAGGGGGUGGCGACUGUUUACUAAAAACACAGGGCUCUGCGAAGUCGCAAGACGACGUAUAGGGUCUGACGCCUGCCCGGUGCCGGAAGG